rnacentral:rRNA from 1 species
UUCGCUAGUAAUCGCGCAUCAGCCAUGGCGCGGUGAAUACGUUCCCGGGCCUUGUACACACCGCCCGUCAAGCCAUGGGAGCCGGGGGCGCCUGAAGUCCGGGACCGCGAGGACCGGCCUAGGGCGAAACUGGUAACUGGGGCUAAGUCGUAACAAGGUAUC